ACAGUGGACGCGAGCAUCUGUGGCCAAGUUUUUAAGGGCGCACGGUGGAUGCCUUGGCACCAGGAACCGAUGAAGGACGUGGGAGGCCACGAUAGUCCCCGGGGAGCCGUCAACCAGGCUUUGAUCCGGGGGUUUCCGAAUGGGGAAACCCGGCAGUCGUCAUGGGCUGUCACCCAUACCUGAACACAUAGGGUAUGUGGAGGGAACGAGGGGAAGUGAAACAUCUCAGUACCCUCAGGAAGAGAAAACAACCGUGAUUCCGGGAGUAGUGGCGAGCGAAACCGGAUGAGGCCAAACCUACGACGUGUGAGACCCGGCAGGGGUUGCGUCGUGGGGGUUGUGGGAUCUCUCUUUCACAGUCUGCCGGCUGUGGGACGAGUCAGAAACCGUUGAUGUAGGCGAAGGACAUGCGAAAGGUCCGGCGUAGAGGGUAAGACCCCCGUAGUCGAAACGUCAACGGCUCGUUUGAGAGACACCCAAGUAGCACGGGGCCCGAGAAAUCCCGUGUGAAUCUGGCGGGACCACCCGCUAAGCCUAAAUAUUCCCUGGUGACCGAUAGCGGAUAGUACCGUGAGGGAAUGGUGAAAAGUACCGCGGGAGCGGAGUGAAAUAGUACCUGAAACCGUGUGCCUACAAGCCGUGGGAGCGUCGCGCAUCGAGUUUACUCGGUGCGUCGUGACUGCGUGCCUUUUGAAGAAUGAGCCUGCGAGUUUGCGGUGUGUUGCGAGGUUAACCCGGGUGGGGUAGCC
rnacentral:rRNA from 1 species